CAAUAGCGUAUAUUAAAGCUGUUGCGGUUAAAAAGCUCGUAGUUGGAUUUCUGUCAAGGACAACUGGUCCGCCCCUCGGGUGAGCACAUAGUUUGGUCUUGGCAUCUUGUUGGAAACUGUUGCUGCACUUGGUUGUGUGGCGCAGUGUCCAGCACUUUCACUUUGAGGAAAUUGGAGUGUUUCAAGCAGGCACAUGCCUUUGGACACAGUAGCAUGGAAUAAUUAGAUUGGGCUUUUGCUCCAACUUGUCGGUUUCUGGAGCUGAGGUGAGAAUUAAUGGGGAUUGUUGGGGGCAUCCGAAUUUAGCCGUCAGAGGUGAAAUUCUUGGAUCUGCUAAAGACGGACAACUACGAAAGCGUUUGCCCAGGAUGUUUUCAUUGA
rnacentral:rRNA from 1 species